AUGGACAUGAGGACCACUGCUCAGCUCCUGGGGCUCCUGCUGCUCUGCCUCCCAGGUGCCAGAUGUGACAUCCAGAUGUCCCAGUCUCCUUCCUCCCUGUCCGCAUCUCCAGGAGACACAAUCACCAUCUCCUGUAAAGCCAGUCAGGGUAUUAGCAGGGUAUUAAACUGGUAUCAGCAGAAACCAGGGAAUUCCCCAAAGCUCCUGAUCUAUUACACUUCAAAUUUGGCCUCUGGGGUCCCAUCCAGAUUCAGUGGAAGUGGAUAUGAGACAGAUUAUACUCUCACCAUCAGCAGCCUUCAGCCUGAAGAUUUUGCCACUUAUUACUGUCAACAGCAUAUUAAUUACCCUCCCACAGUGAUACAAGCCAUUAUCAAAACCUCCCAGGAAAGCAGAAGUGAGAUGUUGGCCUGCUUUAGCUGCUUUGCCUAG